rnacentral:rRNA from 1 species
CAAGCGUUGUGCGGAAUUACUGGGCGUAAAGGGCUCGUAGGCGGCCAACUAAGUCGGAUGUGAAAUCCCCAGGCUUAACCUGGGAACUGCAUCCGAUACUGGAUGGCUUGAAUCCGGGAGAGGGAUGCGGAAUUCCAGGUGUAGCGGUGAAAUGCGUAGAUAUCUGGAGGAACACCGGUGGCGAAGGCGGCAUCCUGGACCGGCAUUGACGCUGAGGAGCGAAAGCCAGGGGAGCAAACGGG